GUCCUACGGGACGCAGCAGUGGGGAAUAUUGCACAAUGGGGGAAACCCUGAUGCAGCAACGCCGCGUGAGUGAAGAAGUAUUUCGGUAUGUAAAGCUCUAUCAGCAGGGAAGAAGAUGACGGUACCUGAAUAAGAAGCCCCGGCUACCUACGUGCCAGCAGCCGCGGUAAUACGUAGGGGGCAAGCGUUAUCCGGAUUUACUGGGGGUAAAGGGAGCGCAGACGGCAGUGCACGUCUGGAGUG
rnacentral:rRNA from 1 species